ACUUAAAUUGAAGAGUUUGAUCAUGGCUCAGAUUGAACGCUGGCGGCAGGCCUAACACAUGCAAGUCGAGCGGUAGCACAGAGAGCUUGCUCUCGGGUGACGAGCGGCGGACGGGGGAGUAAUGUCUGGGAAACUGCCUGAUGGAGGGGGAUAACUACUGGAAACGGUAGCUAAUACCGCAUAACGUCGCAAGACCAAAGUGGGGGACCUUCGGGCCUCAUGCCAUCAGAUGUGCCCAGAUGGGAUUAGCUAGUAGGUGGGGUAACGGCUCACCUAGGCGACGAUCCCUAGCUGGUCUGAGAGGAUGACCAGCCACACUGGAACUGAGACACGGUCCAGACUCCUACGGGAGGCAGCAGUGGGGAAUAUUGCACAAUGGGCGCAAGCCUGAUGCAGCCAUGCCGCGUGUGUGAAGAAGGCCUUCGGGUUGUAAAGCACUUUCAGCGGGGAGGAAGG
rnacentral:rRNA from 1 species